GACGAACCGUGCGAACGUUAUUCGGAAUCACUGGCCUAAAGCGCGUGUAGGCGGCCCGGCACGUCUCUGGCUGAAAUCCCCGGCUCAACCGGGGAAGGGGCCGGAUACGACCGGGCUGGAGGGGGUAGGGGGACGGGAACUCCGGGUGGAGCGGUGAAAUGCGUUGAGAUCCGGAGGAACGCCCGCGGCGAAAGCGCGUCCCUGGACCCGCCUGACGCUGAGACGCGAAAGCCAGGGGAGCGAACGGG
rnacentral:rRNA from 1 species